GCUGGAGUGCAGUGGUGUGAUCAUGGCUCACUACAACCUCAACCUCUGGGGCUCAAGCAGUCUUCCAGCCUCAGACUCCUGAGUAGGGGACCACAGGCACUUGCCACCAUGCCCAGGUUAGACCAAGAGGACUCAAAGAAGAGGAAGAAAUCCUUGUCUUCAACAGGUCUGGUCAGCUCUGAAGAUUCCCUGAAAUGUGACAUGUAGCGUGACUGUUUGCAUUCUGAGUAGCCCACUACACUGGUAUAAAUUCACAAAUUUGGAGAGUCUCUCCUAGGAGUACCCACAGCAUUCCACCAAGGAGAUCACGGUUUAGUGUUACUCUCACUCAGUCCUAGCUGCAUACUAUAAUCACACAGAGAAUGAAAAAGAAAAAUAGUAAUGCUGGAACUCUCCCCAGACUUCUGACUCAGACCAUCCAGUGGUGAGGUCCUGGCUUCAGACUUUUGAUAAAGUUCCACAGCUGAUUCUGUCAAAUUUGGUCCUGUGUUAUUUGAGUUCUAGAAUGGCAAUUUCAACUGUGUGUUAAUAAAUAUAAUUUUGAUCCUCCUAAAA